rnacentral:rRNA from 1 species
AGGGAAUCUUCCACAAUGGACGCAAGUCUGAUGGAGCAACGCCGCGUGAGUGAAGAAGGUCUUCGGAUCGUAAAGCUCUGUUGUUGGUGAAGAAGGAUAGAGGCAGUAACUGGUCUUUAUUUGACGGUAAUCAACCAGAAAGUCACGGCUAACUACGUGCCAGCAGCCGCGGUAAUACGUAGGUGGCAAGCGUUGUCCGGAUUUAUUGGGCGUAAAGCGAGCGCAGGCGGAAUGAUAAGUCUGAUGUGAAAGCCCACGGCUCAACCGUGGAACUGCAUCGGAAACUGUCAUUCUUGAGUGCAGAAGAGGAGAGUGGAACUCCAUGUGUAGCGGUGGAAUGCGUAGAUAUAUGGAAGAACACCAGUGGCGAAGGCGGCUCUCUGGUCUGCAACUGACGCUGAGGCUCGAAAGCAUGGGUAGCGAACAGGAUUAGAUACCCUGGUAGUCCAUGCCGUAAACGAUGAGCGCUAGGUGUUGGGGACUUUCCGGUCCUCAGUGCCGCAGCAAACGCAUUAAGCGCUCCGCCUGGGGAGUACGACCGCAAGGUUGAACUCUAAAG